rnacentral:sRNA from 1 species
UAAUGAAAGAAAAAGGAGCUAUGCGUCAACAUAGCCCCAUUGUAGAACCGUUAAAAAGACGGUGACAGUAAUAAAUAGUUUUUUAAC